GAUGAACGCUAGCUACAGGCUUAACACAUGCAAGUCGAGGGGAAACGGCAUCGAAAGCUUGCUUUUGAUGGGCGUCGACCGGCGCACGGGUGAGUAACGCGUAUCCAACCUGCCCAUCACUUGGGAAUAACCUUGCGAAAGUAAGACUAAUGCCCAAUGACAUCCCACGAAGGCAUCCGAAUGGGAUUAAAGAUUUAUCGGUGAUGGAUGGGGAUGCGUCUGAUUAGCUUGUUGGCGGGGUGACGGCCCACCAAGGCAACGAUCAGUAGGGGUUCUGAGAGGAAGGUCCCCCACAUUGGAACUGAGACACGGUCCAAACUCCUACGGGAGGCAGCAGUGAGGAAUAUUGGUCAAUGGGCGAGAGCCUGAACCAGCCAAGUAGCGUGCAGGAUGACGGCCCUAUGGGUUGUAAACUGCUUUUAUAAGGGAAUAAAGUGGGUCACGUGUGACUUUUUGCAUGUACCUUAUGAUUAAGGACCGGCUAAUUCCGUG
rnacentral:rRNA from 1 species